rnacentral:sRNA from 2 species
GAUCCGUUAUCCUCGCAAGAAUUUGCCCGGUAGCGUAUAAGCAAAACACAAAUCUAUCCAUGCAAGCAUUUACCGCUGGUGAACCGGCGGUUUUUUUUU